rnacentral:rRNA from 1 species
GACGAACGCUGGCGGCGUGCUUAACACAUGCAAGUCGAACGGAAAGGCCCUGCUUUUGUUGGGUGCUCGAGUGGCGAACGGGUGAGUAACACGUGAGUAACCUGCCCUUGACUUUGGGAUAACUUCAGGAAACUGGGGCUAAUACCGGAUAGGAGCUCCUGCUGCAUGGUGUGGGUUGGAAAAUUUCGGCGGUUGGGGAUGGACUCGCGGCUUAUCAGCUUGUUGGUGGGGUAGUGGCUUACCAAGGCUUUGACGGGUAGCCGGCAUGAGAGGGUGACCGGCCACAUUGGGACUGCGAUACGGCCCAGAAUGCUACGGGCGGCAGCAGUGGGGAAUAUUGCACAAUGGGGGGAAGCCUGAUGCAGCAACGCCGCGUGCGGGAUAACGGCCUUCGGGUUGUAAACCGCUUUGGACUGUGAUGAAGCGUGAGUGACGGUAAUGGGUAAAGAAGCACCGGCUAACUACGUG